rnacentral:rRNA from 1 species
AGCGAACGCUGGCGGCAGGCCUAACACAUGCAAGUCGAACGGAUCCUUCGGGAUUAGUGGCGGACGGGUGAGUAACACGUGGGAACGUGCCCUUUGGUUCGGAACAACUCAGGGAAACUUGAGCUUAUACCGGAUGUGCCCUUCGGGGGAAAGAUUUAUCGCCAAUGGAGCGGCCCGCGUCUGAUUAGCUAGUUGGUGAGGUAAAGGCUCACCAAGGCGACGAUCAGUAGCUGGUCUGAGAGGAUGAUCAGCCACAUUGGGACUGAGACACGGCCCAAACUCCUACGGGAGGCAGCAGUGGGGAAUCUUGCGCAAUGGGCGAAAGCCUGACGCAGCCAUGCCGCGUGAAUGAUGAAGGUCUUAGGAUUGUAAAAUUCUUUCACCGGGGACGAUAAUGACGGUACCCGGAGAAGAAGCCCCGGCUAACUUCGUGCCAGCCGCCGCAGUAACAC